ensembl:lncRNA
CAAACCAUGUUUAAUCAAAGUUUCUGACAGACCUGUUAACACAUUUCAGAUGCACAGACAGUGUAGGAAUAACUUAUAAAACCAUUUGAACUGUUUAACUGAGGAGUUUCAGGUCAUCACAAACAAAAGCACCGUCGCCUGCGGCCGCAAAGAGUGUUGCUUUCAUAUUCCAACCUUUAUUCAGAGUUGACAGAUAGAUCAUUGUUCUCUACCGACAGCAUCUGUGUCUACAGACCCAACCCGCACCUCAUACAGGAGCCGAAGAGACUCAUCGGUCAGUAAAACAUAUCUACAAGUAUGUGAAACAUGUUUAAAAAAAACUUAGAACAGACCUUGAUAAGGAAUUAUUUGGGGUAAAAACUGUCAACAGAUAAAACAUUUGAUCAGAAAAACCAGGUGGUGAAAAAUUCACUGUAAAUGAAAAAAAUAAAAAUAAAUCAUGAGCAUAUAACAAUUCUGAGAUGUUUAUUUUUAACCAAAAAUAUGUGGCUGUUCUAUAAUGAAAUCAUUUGAAUCUCUGAAUGCUGUAAGAAUCAUCCAAGCGGCUAGCCGUCUAAAUAGAGAACACGAGUGAGGACUAGCAGAGGUGGAGAUAUGACAUGUGCACAAUGAGACAUCGGGUAAACUACUCGCAUCACAACGGCAGCUCUUAGCUAUACUGCACAACGUCAACUGGGACACAGGGGGACUGUUGGAUUUAAAAUCAUAACUCAAGGAGCAGACAUGUCACUUCAGCAACCUGGGGGAAUAUUUAAAUGCAUGAUUCAUGUUAAAAAACCGAAGGUCUUUUACAUACGUGUAUUGCAGCAGAACCAGGCUGGUUCUGUUUCUAUCUCCUGUCUGACACACAGAACGUCAUUGAAGAGUCACUCCAGUGUUUAAGUAAUGCAACUCAACAAAGUAGCGGGAGUUGAGAGACAGAUUUAAGUAUAAGCGUCAGAAUGUGUGCAGCAGAAGCUGAAAUAUCCACAGAAAUGAAUAACUGUAUUUUUAUAAUCAUUACUUUUGUCUCCAAGAUGGCUCGUGGUCCAAAAAAAUGGGAUCGUACACUUACACCGAUCAUGUAACGGAUUUGCACAUUUUAUUAGAUCCUCCCAAACUUUCAAAAGACUUUUUAGUGCAUUACUAUGAGUGGAACUCAGUCGGGUAAACAGCUGAUAUCAUUUUAAAUUACUUUGUGCAAUUUAAUCUAUCUUUAGAAAACAGGUUAGUUCUAAGGGCAAACAUGAAUAACAGGCAAAAAACAUUUCCCCAACGCCACCAGGACAUUGGUUAGAGAAAUUCCUUCAUCCCUGAACAUGUCUUUUCUCUUGGGUUAUGAUUCUAAACUUUUUCAAAGUACCAAAAAGCCACAUGAGCAAUACUUUAAAAUACUCUAAAACAGAUUCUAUUUUAAAAAACAUCACGCUAUUGUACAUAUUUAAUGAGUCUGUCUUGUUAACCAGCAAUCCAUGGAUGCCUGGAGAGUUGUAAAGACAGUUUUCAUAGAUAGAAACAUAUAAAAGCAUUCAGACUGACAAUAGGAAAGACAGAGCACACUGUAAAAGACUGGAUAGCCGGGGCGGGAUCAGGCCUAACAUGUGGAUCAAAACCUUCUAAAGUAACUGACACUUUGAGUCAUGUGUACAAAUUAGCACACGUUACAAAUGAGUUUGUGCAGUUUCAGUAUGGCUGCUGUACAUGGACUACAAAUGUGGCGAUAACACACAUCCAAGCAGAGGAUGAAAACGUGUCCACGAAUUGAACAAAAAAGAAAAAGAAAACAGGUCCAUAGUUGCAAUCCACUUGUUAAUGAAAAUGAACUGGUAUUAUCAAAGAUAUACAAACAAAGAAUCCCACAUUAGGCUUCUUCUGCACCAUGUACACCGACCCAACAUAUUGUAUGUACAAAAUGAGCAUUUGUUUGUAUUGGUUAUUGCAUGCAGUAUCAGACAAAUGGCGUACCUUUACAUUUUCAAUUGAGGCCAAGCGCUUACGACAAAACGUAUCAAGGUCUCAGCUCUCCGGCGGUCGUUAUCAACUAUUUCAGCUGUUCACGGCGGGCCGACGGCUUUCACUUUAGGCAAAUGCUUUUUGGACACGGUGGCCGAGGUGCCAGCGUGUAGUGCAGCGAGUGCUCGGUGAGAGACGCCGAUACGCUUCUGAACAGCAAGUUUAUCCGUUAUGAGGACUUGGAGACGUUUCCCCCGUCGACCUCAGAGUCUCUAGGCAUCUUUUAGCGUCAGCAGAGAUCAAUCAUCAACAACUUUGUUUGAAUAAGUCGUCCAUACAAAUCCCCAAACAGCGAUGUGCUUCAUAGAGCAUUCACAAGUUCUCCCUCGUCUCCUGUGGAGAACGGGGUGAGAUUCUGUUGCGACGGGUGCACGAGCCACGUAGGCACAUAGGUUUAUCUGCGAAGCCUCAUCAGUCUCUCCCCCAUUUCUGAAGAACUGUGAUGGAGACGGUUUUCCGUCCAUCGUCCUGUCAACGCAUUGCAGCGAAGCGCCAGGGGAACGGAAAGUUAUUUGGUAGACCUCCCACCACAGAGGGAAUGCUGCGCGGUUUCUUCACGCAUUAAGAACAAUUCCUUCCACGAGAGAAAGUGAAUUUUCUUACAAUGUCUGUUUUUUUUUC